UACGUAGGGUGCGAGCGUUGUCCGGACUUACUGGGCGUAAAGCGUGCGCCGGCGGUUCUAUAAGACAGGUGUGAAAUCCCCGGGCUCAACCUGGGAACUGCGUUUGUGACUGUAGAGCUGGAGUACGGUAGAGGGGGAUGGAAUUCCGCGUGUAGCAGUGAAAUGCGUAGAUAUGCGGAGGAACACCGAUGGCGAAGGCAAUCCCCUGGACCUGUACUGACGCUCAUGCACGAAAGCGUGGGGAGCAAACAGG
rnacentral:rRNA from 1 species